CUUGCACGUCCGCUUCAUCAUUCUUACCGGUCACCAGUCUCCUCCCUCAGCCGUGUAGCUCCCGUGCGCGAAGGUAAAGUGGAAGGGGUCCGAGUCUUCUCCUUCUGCCGUGCAUGUCCGUGACGUCGUCGGCGUCCUCCCCAGCCAUCCGUCCCUGUGUCAUCGUUGGCAGCCUUCUCCUCUUGCCCUGUUGUGCGUUGCCGAUCGCAAGAGACUCCC
rnacentral:lncRNA from 1 species